rnacentral:rRNA from 1 species
UACGUAGGGAGCGAGCGUUGUCCGGAUUUAUUGGGCGUAAAGAGCGCGUAGGCGGUUCGGCAAGUCGGGUGUGAAAACUCCAAGCUCAACUUGGAGCCUGCAUCCGAAACUGCUGUGACUAGAGUCAGGUAGGGGAACACGGAAUUCCAGGUGUAGUGGUGAAAUGCUUAGAUAUCUGGAGGAACACCAGUGGCGAAGGCGGUGUUCUGGGCCUGUACUGACGCUGAGGCGCGAAAGCGUGGGGAGCGAACAGG